AAUAGAUACCCAGGUAGUCCACGCCGUAAACGUUGGGUACUAGGUGUGGGGUCUUAUCAACGGAUUCCGUGCCGAAGCUAACGCAUUAAGUACCCCGCCUGGGGAGUACGGCCGCAAGGCUAAAACUCAAAGGAAUUGACGGGGGCCCGCACAAGCAGCGGAGCAUGUUGCUUAAUUCGAGGCAACGCGAAGAACCUUACCUGGGUUUGACAUGUAGGGAAAAGCCGUAGAGAUACGGUGUCCUUUUGGGCCCUACACAGGUGGUGCAUGGCUGUCGUCAACUCGUGUCGUGAGAUGUUGGGUUAAGUCCCGCAACGAGCGCAACCCUUGUCCUAUGUUGCCAGCACGUAAUGGUGGGGACUCGUAGGAGACUGCCGGGGUCAACUCGGAGGAAGGUGGGGACGACGUCAAGUCAUCAUGCCCCUUAUGUCCAGGGCUGCAAACAUGCUACAAUGGCCGGUACAGAGGGCUGCGAGACCGCGAGGUUGAGCGAAUCCCACAAAGCCGGUCUCAGUUCGGAUCGGAGUCUGCAACUCGACU
rnacentral:rRNA from 1 species